CAAAGGAAAAGACUUCUGAAUCAAGUUCCAAGUCAGAGUUUGAGCGUUUCAUUUUGUGUAGCCUUCUAAAGUUGGUAUGAGCAGAUGAUGAAGACUUACUUCCUGAGGCUUUCAAUCUGUUGGGGCACCAGAGUGCUCUCUUCUCCAGUGGCUACCAGGUGUCUGGAGAUCAGCCUGUCUGGCUCAUGUAAAAGUCAAGGGCUGGGGAUGAUGCUGGUGUUCUCACCUCUAAAGCGAGAGGUUGGAUCAGAUGGUCUUGAAGAUCUCUUCCAGUUCAAAAGAUGA
rnacentral:lncRNA from 1 species